CAUAUAUUAGAGCAAAUCCUAGUCAAUAUUAGUGUGUCACAAAGAUGUAACAUUAAAAAUAGUUUUAUUAAAGAAUAAGCACAUAAAAUUAACCAGAUGACCACAUAGUAAUGCAAUCACUAUCAUGAUGAAUCUAGAUUUAAUUCUGGGUCCCACACCUCCAAUUUUUCAAGAGGGACCUGGGCCCAGCUUAUUAAUUGAAACUAACCUAAUAAACUUUUGUACUAUUCUACUACAGUGCUCCAUUCUAACUAUAGAAAAACUACUACAUCAGCGCUUUUGGCAGGAAGUGGGGAGCUCUCACUUUUUCAAAAGUAAUAACACUUUUGAUUGGCUAGAGCGCUU
rnacentral:lncRNA from 1 species